ACGGGAGGCAGCAGUGGGGAAUAUUGGACAAUGGGGGAAACCCUGAUCCAGCGACGCCGCGUGAGUGAAGAAGUAUUUCGGUAUGUAAAGCUCUUUAAGCAGGAAAGAAAAUGACGGUACCUGCAGAAUAAGCCCCGGCUAACUACGUGCCAGCAGCCGCGGUAAUACGUAGGGGGCAAGCGUUAUCCGGAUUUACUGGGUGUAAAGGGUGUGUAGGCGGGACUGCAAGUCAGAUGUGAAACUUAUGAGCUCAACUCAUAACCUGCAUUUGAAACUGUGGUUCUUGAGAGUCGGAGAGGUAAACGGAAUUCCUGGUGUAGCGGUGAAAUGCGUAGAUAUCAGGAGGAACACCGGUGGCGAAGGCGGUUUACUGGACGACAACUGACGCUGAGACACGAAGGCGUGGGGAGCAAACAGGAUUAGAUACCCUGGUA
rnacentral:rRNA from 1 species